AUUGAACGCUGGCGGCAUGCCUUACACAUGCAAGUCGAACGGUAACGGGCCUUCGGGUGCCGACGAGUGGCGAACGGGUGAGUAAUGCAUCGGAACGUACCUUUCAGUGGGGGAUAACGUAGCGAAAGUUACGCUAAUACCGCAUAUUCUGUGAGCAGGAAAGCAGGGGAUCGCAAGACCUUGCGCUGAUUGAGCGGCCGAUGUCAGAUUAGCUAGUUGGUGAGGUAAAGGCUCACCAAGGCGACGAUCUGUAGCGGGUCUGAGAGGAUGAUCCGCCACACUGGAACUGAGACACGGUCCAGACUCCUACGGGAGGCAGCAGUGGGGAAUUUUGGACAAUGGGGGCAACCCGUGAUCCAGCCAUGCCGCGUGAGUGAAG
rnacentral:rRNA from 1 species